rnacentral:rRNA from 1 species
UGGGGAAUAUUGGACAAUGGAGGAAACUCUGAUCCAGCAAUUCUGUGUGUGUGAAGAAGGUUUUAGGACUGUAAAACACUUUUAGUAGGGAAGAAAAAAAUGACGGUACCUACAGAAGAAGCAACGGCUAAAUACGUGCCAGCAGCCGCGGUAAUACGUAUGUUGCGAGCGUUAUCCGGAAUUAUUGGGCUUAAAGGGCAUCUAGGCGGUAAGACAAGUUGAAGGUGAAAACCUGUGGCUCAACCAUAGGCUUGCCUACAAAACUGUUGAACUAGAGUACUGGAAAGGUGGGUGGAACUACACGAGUAGAGGUGAAAUUCGUAGAUAUGUGUAGGAAUGCCGAUGAUGAAGAUAACUCACUGGACAGAAACUGACGCUGAAGUGCGAAAGCUAGGGGAGCAAACCGG